rnacentral:rRNA from 1 species
CCAGACUCCUACGGGAGGCAGCAGUGGGGAAUCUUCCGCAAUGGGCGAAAGCCUGACGGAGCAACGCCGCGUGAUCGAAUGGAGGCCUUCGGGUUGUAAAGAUCUGUUGACAGGGACGAAUAAGCAAUGCGAAUAGUUUUGUGUAUGACGGUACCUGUUUAGAAAGCUCCGGCUAACUACGUGCCAGCAGCCGCGGUAAUACGUAGGGAGCAAGCGUUGUCCGGAAUUACUGGGCGUAAAGGGGGCGCAGACGGCGAUGCAAGCCAGGAGUGAAAGCCCGGGGCCCAACCCCGGGACUGCAUUUGAAACUGUCAGGCUGGAGUGCAGGAGAGGUAAGUGGAAUUCCUAGUGUAGCGGUGAAAUGCGUGGAUAUUAGGAGGAACACCAGUGGCGAAGGCGGCUUACUGGACUGUAACUGACGUUGAGGCUCGAAAGCGUGGGGAGCAAACAGGAUUAGAUACCCGAGUA